UUUAAAGAAAUUAAAACAUGUUCGUGGAUCCCUAAAAAUAUUGUGGUCCCCAAGUGCUGUGCCUUCAGAAGUCAGCAGAAAUGGAGCCUGGAGGUGGCAGGUGCAGGAGUGUGAUGGUGACCAGCGUUUUCUGGAGGGUCGUCCAUGAUGGGGCUUGGCGGUGAACAGCCCCUGAUUGUUUGGAGGAGUCUGAAGGUAUGCAGGCUGGCAGAAGGAAGCUGGCUUGGAUGAACAUCUUGCCAUAUGGAGUCACAAAUUGAAUGGCCCCUUUUCAGCUUGGUUGAGAGCAAGCUCCUGAAGCUUUAAUCUGGGGUCAGUUUGGGGAAAAGAAGAAAUCUUGCAGAAACUUGUCAGGACAUAUCACAUGUAGGUUGGAAGAGGGACAUUGACAGGGGCAAUCUAGUCUAGGGUGAGUUCUGUAUGCCAGAGGACACCA
rnacentral:lncRNA from 10 species